AACCAGUAGGUCACAUGUCAGUACAGACACACAACCAGUAGGUCACAUGUCAGUACAGACACACAACCAGUAGGUCACAUGUCAGUACAGACACACAACAAGUAGGUCACAUGUCAGUACAGACACACAGCCAGUAGGUCACAUGUCAGUACAGACACACAACAAGUAGGUCACAUGUCAGUACAGACACACAACAAGAAGGUCACAUGUCAGUACAGACACACAACAAGUAAGUCACAUGUCAGUACAGACACACAACAAGUAGGUCACGUGUCAGUACAGACACACAACAAGUAGGUCAUAUGUUGUACAGACACACAACAAGUAGGUCACAUGUCAGUACAGACACACAACAAGUAGGUCAC
ensembl:lncRNA